CCUACGGCGCAGCUGCAGUGGGGAAUAUUGGACAAUGGGCGAAAGCCUGAUCCAGCCAUGCCGCGUGUGUGAAGAAGGCCUUCGGGUUGUAAAGCACUUUCAGUGGGGAAGAAAGCCUUGGGGCUAAUACCCUCGAGGAAGGACAUCACCCACAGAAGAAGCACCGGCUAACUCCGUGCCAGCAGCCGCGGUAAUACGGAGGGUGCGAGCGUUAAUCGGAAUUACUGGGCGUAAAGCGCGCGUAGGCGGUCUGAUAAGCCGGUUGUGAAAGCCCCGGGCUCAACCUGGGAACGGCAUCCGGAACUGUCAGGCUAGAGUGCAGGAGAGGAAGGUAGAAUUCCCGGUGUAGCGGUGAAAUGCGUAGAGAUCGGGAGGAAUACCAGUGGCGAAGGCGGCCUUCUGGACUGACACUGACGCUGAGGUGCGAAAGCGUGGGUAGCAAACAGGAUUAGAUCCCCGUGUAGUC
rnacentral:rRNA from 1 species